AGCAGCCGCGGUAAUUCCAGCUCCAAUAGCGUAUAUUAAAGUUGUUGCAGUUAAAAAGCUCGUAGUUGAAUUUCGAGAUCAAAUUGUUGGUCGUGCCUUGGUACGCACUGGCAUUAUUGGUUUCUCCCUUCUGACAAAUCAUGAUGUCAUUAAUUUGGUGUCUUGGGGAAUCAGGACUGUUACUUUGAAAAAAUUAGAGUGUUUAAAGCAGGCUUACGCUUGAAUACAUUAGCAUGGAAUAAUGAAAUAGGACGUUUGAUUCUAUUUUGUUGGUUUCUAGGAUCGACGUAAUGAUUAAUAGGGAUAGUUGGGGGCAUUAGUAUUCAAUUGUCAGAGGUGAAAUUCUUGGAUUUAUUGAAGACUAACUACUGCGAAAGCAUUUGCCAAGGAUGUUUUCAUUAAUCAAGAACGAAAGUUAGGGGAUCGAAGACGAUCAGAUACCGUCGUAGUCUUAACCAUAAACUAUGCCGACUAGGGAUCGGAUGAUGUUAAUUUUUUAAUGACUCAUUCGGCGCCUUAC
rnacentral:misc_RNA from 1 species